GACGAACGCUGGCGGCGUGCUUAACACAUGCAAGUCGAACGAAGAGCGAUGGAAGCUUGCUUCUCUCAAUCUUAGUGGCGAACGGGUGAGUAACGCGUAAUCAACCUGCCCUUCAGAGGGGGACAACAGUUGGAAACGACUGCUAAUACCGCAUACGAUCUAAUCUCGGCAUCGAGGAUAGAUGAAAGGUGGCCUCUACAUGUAAGCUAUCACUGAAGGAGGGGAUUGCGUCUGAUUAGCUAGUUGGAGGGGUAACGGCCCGCCAAGGCGAUGAUAAGUAGCGGGUCUGAGAGGCGAAACGGACACACUGGGACGGAGACACGGCCCAGACUCCUACGGGAGGCAGCAGUGGGGAAUCUCCCGAAAUGGACGAAAGUCUGACGGAGCAACGCCGCGUGAGGGAUGAAGGCCUUCGGGUUGUAAAACUCUGUUAAUCGGGACGAAAGGACUUCUCGCGAAUAGUGAGAAGGAUUGACGGUACCGGAAUAGAAAGCCACGGCUAACUACGUG
rnacentral:rRNA from 1 species